GGGUUGUGAGGUUAAGCGACUAAGCGUACACGGUGGAUGCCCUGGCAGUCAGAGGCGAUGAAGGACGUGCUAAUCUGCGAAAAGCGUCGGUAAGGUGAUAUGAACCGUUAUAGCCGGCGAUGUCCGAAUGGGGAAACCCAGUGCAAUUCGUUGCACUAUCGUUAACUGAAUACAUAGGUUAACGAGGCGAACCGGGGGAACUGAAACAUCUAAGUACCCCGAGGAAAAGAAAUCAACCGAGAUUCCCCCAGUAGCGGCGAGCGAACGGGGAGCAGCCCGGAGUCUGAAUCAGCUUGUGUGUUAGUGGAAGCGUCUGGAAAGUCGCAGGGUACAGGGUGAUACUCCCGUACACUAAAACACACAGGCUGUGAACUCGAAGAGUAGGGCGGGACACGUGGUAUCCUGUCUGAAUAUGGGGGGACCAUCCUCCAAGGCUAAAUACUCCUGACUGACCGAUAGUGAACCAGUACCGUGAGGGAAAGGCGAAAAGAACCCCGGCGAGGGGAGUGAAAAAGAACCUGAAACCGUGUACGUACAAGCAGUAGGAGCCUCUUUAUGGGGUGACUGCGUACCUUUUGUAUAAUGGGUCAGCGACUUAUAUUCUGUAGCAAGGUUAACCGUAUAGGGGAGCCGCAGGGAAACCGAGUCUUAACUGGGCGUUAAGUUGCAGGGUAUAGACCCGAAACCCGGUGAUCUAGCCAUGGGCAGGUUGAAGGUUGGGUAACACUAACUGGAGGACCGAACCGACUAAUGUUGAAAAAUUAGCGGAUGACUUGUGGCUGGGGGUGAAAGGCCAAUCAAACCGGGAGAUAGCUGGUUCUCCCCGAAAGCUAUUUAGGUAGCGCCUCGUGAACUCAUCUUCGGGGGUAGAGCACUGUUUCGGCUAGGGGGUCAUCCCGACUUACCAACCCGAUGCAAACUACGAAUACCGAAGAAUGUUAUCACGGGAGACACACGGCGGGUGCUAACGUCCGUCGUGAAGAGGGAAACAACCCAGACCGCCAGCUAAGGUCCCAAAGUCAUGGUUAAGUGGGAAACGAUGUGGGAAGGCCCAGACAGCCAGGAUGUUGGCUUAGAAGCAGCCAUCAUUUAAAGAAAGCGUAAUAGCUCACUGGUCGAGUCGGCCUGCGCGGAAGAUGUAACGGGGCUAAACCAUGCACCGAAGCUGCGGCAGCGACACUAUGUGUUGUUGGGUAGGGGAGCGUUCUGUAAGCCGUUGAAGGUGGCCUGUGAGGGUUGCUGGAGGUAUCAGAAGUGCGAAUGCUGACAUAAGUAACGAUAAUGCGGGUGAAAAACCCGCACGCCGGAAGACCAAGGGUUCCUGUCCAACGUUAAUCGGGGCAGGGUGAGUCGACCCCUAAGGCGAGGCCGAAAGGCGUAGUCGAUGGGAAACAGGUUAAUAUUCCUGUACUCGGUGUUACUGCGAAGGGGGGACGGAGAAGGCUAUGUUGGCCGGGCGACGGUUGUCCCGGUUUAAGCAUGUAGGCGGAUGUUCCAGGUAAAUCCGGAACGUUACUAACGCUGAGGUGUGAUGACGAGGCACUACGGUGCUGAAGUGACAAAUGCCCUGCUUCCAGGAAAAGCCUCUAAGCAUCAGGUAACAUCAAAUCGUACCCCAAACCGACACAGGUGGUCAGGUAGAGAAUACCAAGGCGCUUGAGAGAACUCGGGUGAAGGAACUAGGCAAAAUGGUGCCGUAACUUCGGGAGAAGGCACGCUGAUAUGUAGGUGAAGUGGUUUACCCAUGGAGCUGAAAUCAGUCGAAGAUACCAGCUGGCUGCAACUGUUUAUUAAAAACACAGCACUGUGCAAACACGAAAGUGGACGUAUACGGUGUGACGCCUGCCCGGUGCCGGAAGGUUAAUUGAUGGGGUUAUCCGUAAGGAGAAGCUCUUGAUCGAAGCCCCGGUAAACGGCGGCCGUAACUAUAACGGUCCUAAGGUAGCGAAAUUCCUUGUCGGGUAAGUUCCGACCUGCACGAAUGGCGUAAUGAUGGCCAGGCUGUCUCCACCCGAGACUCAGUGAAAUUGAACUCGCUGUGAAGAUGCAGUGUACCCGCGGCAAGACGGAAAGACCCCGUGAACCUUUACUAUAGCUUGACACUGAACACUGGUCCUUGAUGUGUAGGAUAGGUGGGAGGCUUUGAAGCGUGGACGCCAGUCUGCGUGGAGCCAUCCUUGAAAUACCACCCUUUAAUGGCUGGUGUUCUAACGUGGGCCCCUAAUCGGGGUUGCGGACAGUGUCUGGUGGGUAGUUUGACUGGGGCGGUCUCCUCCUAAAGAGUAACGGAGGAGCACGAAGGUCAGCUAAUCCUGGUCGGACAUCAGGAGGUUAGUGCAAUGGCAUAAGCUGGCUUGACUGCGAGCGUGACGGCGCGAGCAGGUGCGAAAGCAGGUCAUAGUGAUCCGGUGGUUCUGAAUGGAAGGGCCAUCGCUCAACGGAUAAAAGGUACUCCGGGGAUAACAGGCUGAUACCGCCCAAGAGUUCAUAUCGACGGCGGUGUUUGGCACCUCGAUGUCGGCUCAUCACAUCCUGGGGCUGAAGUAGGUCCCAAGGGUAUGGCUGUUCGCCAUUUAAAGUGGUACGCGAGCUGGGUUUAGAACGUCGUGAGACAGUUCGGUCCCUAUCUGCCGUGGGCGCUGGAGAAUUGAGGGGGGCUGCUCCUAGUACGAGAGGACCGGAGUGGACGCAUCACUGGUGUUCGGGUUGUCAUGCCAAUGGCAUUGCCCGGUAGCUAAAUGCGGAAGAGAUAAGUGCUGAAAGCAUCUAAGCACGAAACUUGCCCCGAGAUGAGUUCUCCCUGACUCCUUGAGAGUCCUGAAGGAACGUUGAAGACGACGACGUUGAUAGGCCGGGUGUGUAAGCGCAGCGAUGCGUUGAGCUAACCGGUACUAAUGAACCGUGAGGCUUAACCUUACAACGCCGAAG
rnacentral:rRNA from 1 species